rnacentral:tRNA from 1 species
GUCGGUUGAAGAAUGGUCUAAACAGUUGGUUUUCGACCGCUAUGACCCGGGUUCGAUUCCCGCAUUGGGCA